AAUUUUUCUAUUUUUAGUAGAGACAGGGUUUCACCAUUUUAGUCAGGCUGGUCUCAAAAUCCUGACUUCAUGAUCCACCUGCCUCUGUCUCCCAAAGUGCUGGGAUUACAGGCAUGAGCCACUGUGCCCGGCAUACUUCUUUUUAAAACUUAACUAAAUUUUAUGGUAACUAUUGUGAAGUCUAUAUCAAAAAACAUAUAUGAACCUAUUUGGAUUCAAACAAAACAGGAACAUGAAAAUACCAAGUAAGUUUUGAUUCUGGUUAAAAAAUAAAUGAAAUAAAUCAAAGUGUCAUGAGAGAUCCAACCUCUGAUACUAUAUUUACAAUGAGUGCAUAGCUAAGGAACAAGUUCCAUUAGGGUUCAAAAAGUAAGUUAAUUACUUUUUAAAAAAUAUUCUUACAUGUAGAAAUUUAAGUCUAGAUAUGGAAGAAAGGGGAGGUUGUAGAGGAAAGGUAAACAUUUAGUUUUGCAGACGCUGCCUAGAAUCUACACAAGCCUGUUUUUCGAGAGUCUGAAACACUUAUUUGUGUUCAACUGAUCUAUUUUAUUAAGGUUAAAAGUGCUAGAAAUCUACUGGAAACAAAAUAAGAGAAAGAAAAAUUAAAAAAAAACAACAUUAAUAAGGGUAUUUAAAACAAUAUAGCCGUGUAUUUGUGAGACCAUUAAAAAUACUUGCAUUACUUCCAAACUAGAGAUUGAUUAAUCCAAAGAAAGCCUCACAGAUUUUUGUUCUAGCCAUGAUAGACUAGCUAUAUUAAACUUACCUUUCUGCUUUAGACAAAUAUGAAACUUAAAUUGAGUAUGUAGUAAAAGGAAAACUCUGGCUGGAUGCCAUGGCUCAUGCCUGUAAUCCCAGCACUUUGGGAGGCCGAGGCGGUCUGAUCACAAGGUCAGAUUAUCGAGACCAUCCUGGCCAAUAUGGUGAAACCCUGUCUCUACCAAAAUACAAAAAGUUAGCUAGGCGUGCUGUUGAGCCCCUGUAGUCCCUGCUACUCAGGAGGCUGAGGCAGGGGAAUUGCUUGAACCUGGGAGGCGGAGAUUGCAGUGAGCUGAGAUCGUGCCACUGCACUCCAGCCUGGUGACAGAGCGAGACUCCAUCUCAAAAAACAAAAAAAAAGGGAAAAUUCCUUUUGUUAGCUUUGGGGAGUAAGAAAUGCCAGGUUGUAUCCUUGAAAUAAUAGAGGCAAUUUGGGUCAGUCAAAUAUUUGUCUCAGCUUCUCCAAGGAAUAUUUCUUGGCUUGAAAGCAGGGAGAUAUGAGCAAAUAUAAAUAAUCUUCCCAUGCAAAGAAGGAAAAAAUCAAAUUUCAGACAGCUGAGGUGGCUUCAGAUUGGGAUUCAGGUACCAGAUGGGGGAAGCCAAGGAGAAAGAAAUCCAGAAAACUAAGAAAAUUUUCCUUUUAUUUUCAGAAUUUUUUUCUUUCUCCCUCUCUCUUUUUUUUUUUUUUUGUCUUUUGAACUACUUGUGCACAUAGCGACACUUGAAGAGACUGGUAGAGAGCAGCUGCUGGUUGGAAUGCACCUGAGUAGAUUUUAGCAAUUGCACAGAGAGUGGAAUAUAGCAGGGCUUUGGUCUUAGCCAGAGCAGAGAUUCCUCAAGCACCCCAGACACUCAUUUGAGGGUGCAUUAGAGUCAUACCAUAGAAGUAAAAGCUAUUUUCUAUUAGGGGUUAAAAAAGCAAAUAAACCACAAAUCAAUCACAUAAAAAACCCUUUCAUAUUUCCUUAAAAAAAUAACUAUAACAAAGCAUUGGUAGAAUUAAUGAGAAUUGCCAGUAAUUUAACUAUCUGCCAGGAAAAAAUAAGCCAAAAAUUCUUUACAGAAAGGCCUCUAAAAUACAUUUUCAACAAUCUUGAUUAAUAAUUUCUAACAUAUACAGAAAAUCAGAAUAAAGUGAUUGAUAAUGAAAAUACAAAAUUAUAAGCAUAAAGCAACCCAGAGAUGAUCCAGACACCACAGUUAGCUAAAAAAAAAAAAAAAAAAAAAAAAAAAAAAAAAAAAAAAAAAAAAAAAAAAAUUAAAGGAAAGAUGAACAAAAUAAAUAAGAUGGAAUAUAUACUAAAAAAGUACAAAAUAUAUUUAAAAAACAAAAGUUAAUAAAUUGUUGGUUCAUAUAAAAACAAACUUGGUAAAGAAAAUAAAAAUAGUAAAUUGAAAUAGUAAAAGAUAUGUUAAAAGAAACUGGUGAGUCGCAAAAAUGGGCAAAAUACAUAAAAAAAGAAUGGGAAAUACAAAAAUAAAAACUGAAAAAUAUGAAACAGUAAAAAAGAAAGAAAAGAAGUAAAUCUAAUCUACUUGUAAUUGGGUUUCCAGAGGAGAAGCAAAGAAAAUGAGACAGAGCAUUAUUUUGAGAAAUAAUAGUCAAGAGAGUUCUAUAUUUGAUUUUUUAAAAUCAACGGAUUCAAGAAUUCAGCAUAUUUCAAAACAAAUAAAAUCGUUGUAUUAGUUUGUUAUCACAGUGUUACAAAGAUCUUCCAAAGACUAGGUAAUUUAUAAAGGAGAGAGGUUUAAUUGACUCACAAUUCCACAAGGCUGGGGAGGCCUCAGGAAACUUACAAUAAUGGGGAAAGGGGAAGCAGGUAUGUCUUAACAGGUGCAGGAGAGAAAGAGAGCCUGUGAGAGCACAGGAAAAGCUACCAUUUCUAAAACCAUCAGUUCUGAGAAUUCACUCACUAUUAAGAGAACAGCAUAAGUGAAACUGCACCCAUAAUCCAAUCACUUCCCUCCCUCUAAACGUGGGGAUUACAAUUCCAGGUAAGAUUUGGGUGAUGAGACACAGAGCCAAACCAUAUCAAUCACAAUUACAAACAAAAUGAAUAUUAUAAUACUAACAAACAUCAAAGACAAUGAGAAAAUCUCUAAAAGCAGCUGGAGAAAACAGCAAGAAUCAUUAACUUUUAACGGAAACUAUGAAAGACACUAAAAAAAUAGAAUUAUAUCUUCACAAAUUAUUUUGAAUUAUCUCCAAAAAUUAAAGUAAGAAUACUUUCUAACAAAGCUGAGAAAAUUAUUAAACAGCAUUCUUCCUUUAUAAGAAAUAUUAAACAUGUUUGUCAAGUUAAAAAAGAAUGAUUUAAUAUAAGAAUGGAGAGGCAAAAAGAAAUACACCACUCUGGAAAGGACAAAAUAAUUGAGUAAAUAUCAAAAUACAUAAGCUGUUUACAUUUUAAACAACAGCAAGGCUGGGUGCAAUGGCUCACACCUUUAAUCCCAGCACUUUGGGAUGCCAAGGUGGGUGCAUUACUUAAUGUCAGGAGUUCAAGACCAGCAUGGCCAACAUGGUGAAACCCCAUCUCUAUUAAAAAUACAAAAAUUAAUUGGGUGAGGUGGUUCACGCCUGUAAUCCCAGCUACUCGGGAGGCAAGGCAGAAAAUUAGUUUGAACCCAGGAGGCAGAGGUUGCAGUGGGCCCAGAUCAUGCCACUGCUCUCCAUCCUGAGUGACAAAGCUAGAUCUAAGACUCCAUCUCAAAAAAACAAAUAAGCAAAACAAUAGCAAUAUCUUGUGGAGUUGAUAAUAUGUUUAGAAGUAAAAUGACAAAAAUAGCGACAUUGAGAAAUAAAAGGAAAUUGUUGUAUUUUUUAAUAUAAUAAGAGAAUACAUUUAAGAUACAUAAAUUAGAUACAGAUGCAUUUGGUAAUUUACAAGGUAUUUGCUAAAUAUAGUGAUACUAAAAAUUAUGACAAGUAUUAGUAAAGGAGAAAAUUGAAUAACCAAAACCUGAUUAAUGCAGAAAGUGAAAUAAAAAAUGGUAGGAAAGGAGAAAUACAACAAAACAACACCUAAAAACAAGAGCAUCAACGACAGAGGAAGAAAACAGAACAUGGAGAAAACAAGUAAUAAAAUAGCAGACCUAAACAAAAAUAUACAAAUAAUUGAAUUAAAUGUAAAUAGAUUCAGUACUACUUCAAGCAAAACAUAGUAGAUUAUGAGAUUGAAUUAUAAAUAAAUGCAACUACAUACUGCUUGAAGAAUGCAUGUUAAAUAAGGCAAUGCUCUAGGUUCAAAGCAAACAUAUACAAACCAAGUGACAUGGCUUUAUUACAAAAAAGACAAAGUGGUCCUUCAGAAAAAUAAAUGUGAUAAACUUUAAAGAUAACUAUUUCGUAAUUUUAAAAUGGUCAUUUCAACAAGAAGAUAUAAUCAAAUUUUGUAUGUACCUAAUAUACCUUUAUUUUAGGUAAAGAAAUAAAUGAUAUAAAUUUAUGGCUUUAAGUGCCUAUGUUAGAAAAAAGUGAAGCUUGAAUAUCAAUAAUGUCAGCUUAAAAGCCAGAAAUAAGAUGAGAAGUUUAAAUUUGAAGAAAAACAGAAAGCAGGAAAAAAUUUUAAAAUGAGAAAGCAUUGAGCUAGAAAACAGAUAUACUGUACAGAAUAUCAGUAAAGUAAAAUUUUGCAGCUGUAAAAUGAUAUGACAAAACCUCUCAAAACUGAUCUAGAAACGGGAAAACAAAUUAUCAAUAUCCUGAACAAAAUAGGAGAUAUCCAUAUAGAUUUUACAGUUAAUGAAAGAACAUUGAAGGAUAUUAUAAAUAAUCUUUUGCCAAUAAAUUUGAAAAUUCAGAUGAAAUUUACAAAUUAGUGGAAAGUUAAAAUUUACCAAAAUAGGUACAAGAAAAAAUAAUCUAAAAAUUACUUUAUAUGUAACAGAAAUUGACAUUUUUAUUAAACACUUUACUCAAAGAAAAUUCCAGGAUUGUGUAAGUACAACGACAGAACUCUAUUUCACAAGUCAGAAAAAUGCCUUUAUUUCAUGUUAGUCUUGAAUAAAUUUAGUGAGCACAGAAUAUUUAAUUGGCUAUUAUGUUACGUCAACAAAUGGAAGAUGUUUAACUCUUCCUCGGCUUCCGUUGUUGCUGUUGAAAAAUCAGCUUUCAGUGACUUGUUCCUGUGAAGUUAAUCUGUUUGCUUUUUUUCUCUCUAUUAAUGUUAAGAUUGUUCUCUUGUACUUGCUUUGACAGCACAUACAAUAAAAUUUGCAAUGUACAGGGAAGAUUAACUGACCCGCUGCACGAAGAUGACACACAAAUUUAUGAAGAUGGUUCUUUUUAUUUUCCUUAAAUUUUAGCAUGUGUGCCAUAUGGCUCCUGGCCAACCCCACUACUACAACCAUUCUGGACCAGAGGGGAUAGUGUCCUUCAACUGCAGAAUGAGGCAGUGCAUGGAGACUAUCAUUCUAUGUGAGCUGUGGAAUGAGACCCACUGGCCAUGGGAAACCAACAGAUACCAUUGUAGCUAAUCUUGAUCUGAUCAUCUUUAAGUAAAAUGUUGUUCCAACCAAUCCCUUUCCAUCGAAUGCCUGUG
rnacentral:lncRNA from 10 species